GGUUUCAUUCGAUUUGUUAUGGAUUGGAUGAUGGAAAAACCAGCAAGCUACGGCUUCAAAGCUUACCUUAUUUAGAAAAGGUGAAAGGGCUUUUUUUAUAGAUGUUAAGGUUGAGUAAGGGGUUGGAGCUUGAAAAGCAAAGCGAGCCGCGCUAGCGUAGCAAUGAUUUUCAGCAGCAAGCUACGGUCUAACGAUCCCCUAACCUAGGUUGGGGCAAAAACUCCAAAAUAUAAAACAUUGGUUAGGGUUCCAAACCUUUCUCUAAUAAUAAGGUAAGCUUUGAAGCCGCCGCCCUUUAAAGGAGCGGGCACAGUGAAAUGUAAUUGUUAAAAGAUUGGAAGAUCUGGCCAAAGAAUGUGAUAGUGUAACUGUAAUUGUGAAAAGAUUGGAAGAGCGGGCGCAGUGAACUGUAACUCGGCGUGUUUGAAUUCUGAUCGCUUUAACGCGAGAAAGGGGGACCACCCUCUAAGCCUAAGUAUUCCUCAAUGACCGAUAGUGUACAAGUACCGUGAGGGUAAGGUGAAAAUAACCCUAUUUAGGGAGUGUAAUCAAUCGAACGAGCAGAGCUUAGAGCCUUUACUUUAUGUAAAGCGCACUCACUCUAACAGCGUACCUUUUGUAUGAUGGGUCAGUGAGGAAAUGGGGACCGAUUUGACCCAAAAUCGAUCGAUCUAGCCAUGAGCAGGUUGAAGAGAGCUCUAAUAGGACUUGGAGGACCGAACCCACGUAUGUGGCAAAAUACGGGGAUGACUUGUGGCUAAGGGUGAAAGGCCAACCAAGAUCGGAUAUAGCUGGUUUUCCGUGAAAUCUAUUUCAGUAGAGCGUAUGAUGUCGAUGGCCCGAGGUAGAGCACUCAAUGGGUUACGGUGGCCUAAUUUUGCCUUACGAACCCCAGGGAAACUCUGAAUACAGGCCUAGAUCGUUUGUACAGACAGACUUUUUGGGUUCUAAGAUCCAAAGUCGAGAGGGAAACACCCUAGAUCGUACGCUAAGGUACCUAAGCAAUCACUAAGUGGAAAAGGGAGUGAUCGAGCAAUGAUAACCAUGAGGUGGGCUUGGAAGCAACCAUCCUUUGAAGAAAGCGUAAUAGCUCACUGGUCUAGCUCCAUGGCACCGAAAAUAUAUCACGGCUCAAGUGAUUCACCGAAGCUACGAGACCUUGAAAGCUGCUUUUUCAAGUGUUAGUAGCGGAAUGUUCUGUCAAUCGGGGAAGGUUUUUGGUGACAAGACCUGGAGAUAUCAGAAGUGAGAAUGCUGACAUGAGUAACGAAACAUCCUGUGAAAAACACGAUCACCUGCCACUGGAAGGUUUUUUGCAUUUAAUCAAUCUACGCAGAGUGAAUCGGUCCCUAAGGAACCCCCGAAAGUGUUGUCGUCUGAUGGGUACACGAAAGUGACAAAGUUGCUUUGACUACAGAACCAUGCCUGUCUGUUGGAGCGAAUUGGAUGAUUGGGCCGAGGGCUGCCCCCUCUUCCCCUCACUCUCCUUUCCCUAAUCUGAACCUUGAGUCAUCAAAGCCUUUCUGUCUCGGCCUGGCCCGAUCGCCGUACGUGACUGGCGCUUCAAAAGGCGAAACUCUCGGUCGUAUUUUGGCGACCUAUCUUUAGUAGGGGCCUUUAGUCUUUUGAUUAGAGUAGGGGUCACGAUAGAGCCGAGCGUACCGCCCUGCCAUAGUCUCGAGUCUGUUUAUAGUCGCGACUGUUGUCAUAGUCAACAAGGUUGAAACUUCCAGGAAAAAACUUCGAAUUGGGAGGGCGAUCCUCCCGCUGAACUGACCGUACCCCAAACCGACAUAGGUGACCAAGUAGAGUAUACUAGGGCGCUUGAUAGAACAAUGUCGAAGGAACUCGGCAAAAUGACCCCGUAACUUCGGGAUAAGGGGUGUUCUCCUACCUUUUGAUUAGGAAAGAGGCACAUUCCAGGGGGAAGCGAUUGUUUAUUAAAAACACAGGACUCUGCUAAGUGGUAACACGAUGUAUAGAGUCUCACACCUGCCCGGUGUUGGAAGGUCGGAAGGAGAAUUGUUAUAUUCUUUGAAUGGAAGCCCUGGUAAACGGCAGCAGUAACUCUAACUAUCCUAAGGUAGCGAAAUUCCUUGCCGCAUAAGUAGCAACCUGCAUGAAUGGUGUAACGACUGCCUCAAUAUCUCCGACAUGGACCCGAUGAAAUUGUAUUCUUCGUGAAGAUGCGGAGUACCAACGGCUAGUGGGUAAGACCCCGUGCACCUUAACUAUAGCUUCGUAGUGACAACCUUAAUCAAAUGUGUAGGAUAGGUAGGAGGUGUUGACACACAACAACCAAUCUUGAAAGACCACUCUUUCAUCUAAGGAUGCUUAACCGCCGCACCGAUCAUUUAGGGGGAUGCGGGACACUACGAGGUGGGUAGUUUAUCUGGGGAGGAUGCUUCCUAAAGAGUAACAGAGGUGUGCGAAGGUAGGCUCAAGCUAAGAUUCUUCUCGUUAGCGUAAUGGUAUAAGCCUUCCUGACUGUGAGACCGACUGGUCAAACAGUGAUGAAAGUCGGCUAUAGUGAUCCGGGAGUCCCGUGUGGAAGGGCUCUAGCUCAAUGGAUCAAAGGUACACUGGGGAUAACAGGCUGAUGACUCCCAAGAUCUCUUAUUGUCGGAGUCAUUUGGUACCUCGAUGUCGACUCAUCACAUCCUGGAGUUGAAGAAGGUCCCAAGGGUUCGGUUGUUCGUCAAUUCAAAUGGUACGUGAGUUGGGUUUAGAACGUCAUAAGACAGUUUGGUUACUAUUUACCGUUGGUGUUAAAAGGAGAACUGUGAGGAGCCAACCCUAGUACGAGAGGACUGGGGUGGGCUAACCUAUGGUGUACCGGUUGUUAUGCCAAUAGUAGUGCCGGGUAGCUAAGUUGGUACGGAAAAACUGAUGCGAAGCGGGAAAUCCUUCUCUAUACAAGUUCUCGGAUGAGGUUUUUGAACAAAAUUUUGAUAGGCGAGAGGUGUAUGCACCCCGAGGUAUGAAGCAAUCUCGUACUAAACGAAAUGACUUUCACUU
rnacentral:rRNA from 1 species